rnacentral:lncRNA from 1 species
GUCGGGCUGUGGGUAUCCCCCAACAGUUGCCCCCCUCCACUCCUAAGUCGGGUGGCGAGCUGGCCGAUGCAUUCAUUCGGGCAGCAAUCCUGGACGACUGGGAGUGGAUUUGUCGUACGCAUAGAUCCGACCGUACCGCCGGCUGAUCCGACGUCAGACGCCUCAUAAAUGCCAAGCGAUCUGGACGUCUAGUCGGUGUCAGAAGUUACGUCGGCAUCAGGUGUCAGACGUCGCGUCUUGUCGUCGUCAGAUGUUGCGUCGGUGUCAGAAGAUCGGGCGCCGG